rnacentral:rRNA from 1 species
CCCACUCCCGGCACGGGGAGGUAGUGACAAAAAAUAACGAUACGGGACUCAUCCGAGGCCCCGUAAUCGGAAUGAGAACACUUUAAAUCCUUUAACAAGGAUCCAUUGGAGGGCAAGUCUGGUGCCAGCAACCGCGGUAAUUCCAGCUCCAAUAGCGUAUAUUAAAGUUGUUGCGGUUAAAAAGCUCGUAGUUGGUUCUGUGUGCCAUGCUGUUGGUUCACUGCCUGUCGGUGUAACUGACAUGUCAUGGGACGUCCUGUUGGUGGCAUUUAAAGCUUUAUUAUUUUAAAUAAAGGUUCGCCUAAUUUAAAAAAAUAUAUUACUUUAUUUGCCGUUUAAUUCCCGCCGCGGUGCUCUUUGCUGAGUGUCGAGGUGGGCCAACACGUUUACUUUGAACAAAUUAGAGUGCUUAAAGCAGGCAAAAAUUCGCCUGAAUAGUAGUGCAUGGAAUAAUAGAAUAGGAUCUUGGUUCUAUUUUGUUGGUUUUCUGAAUCCAAGGUAAUGAUCAAUAUGGACAGGCGGGGGCAUUCGUAUUGCGACGUUAGAGGUGAAAUUCUUGGAUCGUCGCAAGACGAACUAGAGCGAAAGCAUUUGCCAAGUAUGUCUUAAUUGAUCAAGAACGAAAGUUAGAGGUUCGAAGGCGAUCAGAUACCGCCCUAGUUCUAACCAUAAACGAUGUCAGCUAACGAUCCGUCGAAGUUUAUUCAUGACUCGACGGGCAGCUUCCGGGAAACCAAAGCUUUUGGGUUCCGGGGGAAGUAUGGUUGCAAAGCUGAAACUUAAAGGAAUUGACGGAAGGGCACCACCAGGAGUGGAGCCUGCGGUUCAAUUUGACUCACCAGGGAAACCUCACAGGCCCAGACAUUGGAAGGAUUGACAGAUUGAUAGCUCUUUCUUGAUUCAGUGGAUAGUGGUGCAUGGCCG